rnacentral:misc_RNA from 1 species
UUUCCGUAGGUGAACCUGCGGAAGGAUCAUUAACAUGUCACUCUGUCAUGCUGCCGCGUGAACUGUACAAACCCACUCUGUGUACCUCUCCUGUUGCUUCCGCUGAGCCUGGAGCAUUUCAGAUGAGUUGUCUCUCGCACAGUCAAUUGCUGUGUGGGGUUGGCAACUCUCGGUGACUGCUCUGGAUUCACAUGCCCAGCGGGAGGAUACUUAAUUUCCCGAUUUACUAUUUCAUCUGUCUGAACUAUGAACCAAAAAAAAAAUUGUUAAAACUUUCAGCAACGGAUCUCUUGGUUCUC